GGAGAGAUGGCUCAGUGGUUAAGAGCACUGACUGCUCUUCCAGAGGUCCUGAGUUCAAUUCCCAGCUCCU
rnacentral:tRNA from 1 species